rnacentral:rRNA from 1 species
UUUGAAACACGGACCAAGGAGUUUAUUGUGUACGCAAGUCAUUGAGUGAUUAAAACUUAAAGGCUAAAUGAAAGUAAAGAGUUGAUUGAUUGUAAGAAGAAGAAAGGAAUUUAUUCUUUUUUUUCUUUUUAUUUAUCCAAUCUCUCAAGGGAAGAUGGAAGUUUUAUUAUUUUGAGAUAAUUUUUUAUUAAAAGUUAUUAAUAAUAAAGUUUUCUCGCAUUCCUGGGGCGCUUGUCUCUCGCAUUGCGAGUACGUGCGCACCUAGAGCGUACACGAUGAUACCCGAAAGAUGGUGAACUAUGCCUGGCCAGGACGAAGCCAGGGGAAACCCUGGUGGAGGUCCGCAGCGAUUCUGACGUGCAAAUCGAUCGUCAGAGCUGGGUAUAGGGGCGAAAGACCAAUCAAACCGUCUAGUAGCUGGUUCCUUCUGAAGUUUCCCUCAGGAUAGCUUGCGCUCGGUUGAGAAGAGUCUCAUCCGGUAGAGCGAAUGAUUAGAGGCAUUGGGGUCGAAACGACCUCAACCUAUUCUCAAACUCCAAAUAGAUGAGAGCCCCGGCUUUCUUAAAAUUGAAGCCGUGGGAAUAGGAUCAGAGUGCCAAGUGGGCCAAUUUUGGUAAGCAGAACUGGCG